AGAGUUUGAUCCUGGCUCAGAGCGAACGCUGGCGGCAGGCCUAACACAUGCAAGUCGAACGGGCCCCUUCGGGGGUCAGUGGCAGACGGGUGAGUAACGCGUGGGAACGUGCCCUUCAGUUCGGAACAACCCAGGGAAACUUGGGCUAAUACCGGAUACGCCCUUCGGGGGAAAGAUUCAUCGCUGAAGGAUCGGCCCGCGUCUGAUUAGCUCGUUGGUGGGGUAAUGGCCCACCAAGGCGACGAUCAGUAGCUGGUCUGAGAGGAUGAUCAGCCACACUGGGACUGAGACACGGCCCAGACUCCUACGGGAGGCAGCAGUGGGGAAUAUUGGACAAUGGGCGAAAGCCUGAUCCAGCUAUGCCGCGUGAGUGAUGAAGGCCCUAGGGUUGUAAAGCUCUUUCGGCGGGGACGAUAAUGACGGUACCCGCAGAAGAAGCCCCGGCUAACUUCGUGCCAGCAGCCGCGGUAAU
rnacentral:rRNA from 1 species